UACGUAGGGGCCUAGCGUUGUCCGGAUUUAUUGGGCGUAAAGAGCUCGUAGGCGGUUUGGUGAGUCGGGUGUGAAAUCUCCACGCUCAACGUGGAGGGGCCACCCGAUACUGCCAUGACUAGAGUCCGGUAGGGGAGUGUGGAAUUCCAGGUGUAGCGGUGAAAUGCGUAGAUAUCUGGAGGAACACCGGUGGCGAAGGCGGCAUCCUGGACCGAGAUUGACGCUGAUGCGCGAAAGCCAGGGGAGCAAACGGG
rnacentral:rRNA from 1 species